rnacentral:rRNA from 1 species
AGAGACUGCAAGCGUUAUUCGGAUUCACUGGGCGUAAAGGGUGCGCAGGUGGUCGUGUGUGUCAGAUGUGAAAUCCCGGGGCUUAACUCCGGAACUGCGUCUGAAACUGCACGACUAGAGCAUUGGAGAGGSUAGUGGAAUUCACGGUGUAGCAGUGAAAUGCGUAGAUAUCGUGAGGAACACCAGAGGCGAAGGCGACUACCUGGACAAUUGCUGACACUCAGGCACGAAAGCAUGGGGAGCAAAAGGGAUUAGAUACCCCUGUAGUCCAUGCCCUAAACGGUGCACACUAGGUCUUGGAGGAUUCGACCCCUUCAGGGCCCAAGCUAACGCGUUAAGUGUGCCGCCUGAGGACUACGGUCGCAAGACUA